UCUUUUUCCUGUCAUGAUUUGUUACUGAUUUGCUUGAGGGCCAUAGAAUUUUAAGGAAGUUUAAAACAACAACCAGAAUAAACCACAGACAUUUCAAAUCUUGAACCUAAAAGCCAGCAUUGCUUUGUUUUAUUUGGAUUGCGUUUCAUGGCUAAAUAAUAGCAAGGACAUCAUAGUCCUUAGCAAAGAAAUCACUCUCAGUAUUCAGGAUUGAUUAUGAAGUAACAUAACAUAAGGUUUGUCUCAUACCAUCACAACCCUCUUUCUGAAUGUUGUGAAGGGCUAUCCCUCAGCAGCUCCAAGAAUCUGGGUUCUUUCCUCUAGUGGAUCAGCUGCCUCCUGGGCCCAUAGGGUCCUUUGCAGGCAGCCAACCAAGAGAAAAAGGAGUGGCUCUUGGAAUCACAGACCCAGGCUGGGAAGAGUGCGUGUGAUACAGUGGCCACCCCCUAGAGAGCUGCAGUGAUCCUCUCUGAGCCCUUCAGAAAGUGCUAUGACCAAACAAAAGUGUGCGUACCAAACCCUGCUGUUUCUUAUAAGCAUAAGAGAUUAGUAACAAUUGGUGCUAAUAAAAUAAGACACCCGUGAUUUACAGAAAUAAAAGUUACACGAUGCGGUCUCUGCCUUGACUCAAAACAAACAAACAAACAAACAAACAAGCAAUAUUUUCAGACAUUGGUUGACUAUGGACGAUUGAAAUUCUGGAGUGCAAAGGCAAAGAUAAAGGAAGAUGAUGUACUCACAUUCCAGAGAUGAAGUGAGUCAUGUGGGCUCCACCCAGAAGCACAGCUGUGCGUGCACUGUCCUUAAGAGCCCAGAGCUGAAGGGAAAUACUGAAUUCGCAGCCUUGUGCUUGGCACCGUGCAGCAAACAUUUUAAAACACAGAAAAGUUGCUUUCUAUUUGAGCCUGGAAACAGCUGUUAGGAGUUGGAUUCAUCGUCUCUCAUCUCCUUAGGGACUUGAGCGGGCUUACACCUAAGGCAUGGAGCGUGCUCCCAUUGCCCAGGGUUUCUUAAGUCCAGAAUCACAUUGUGUAGCCCAGACUGACCUCAGACUUGAGAGGCAUUAGUUUCUUGAAUGCUGAGAUUACAGGUUUGUUCUACCAUCCCUAGAACACUUUAACAUUGUGUGCAUACACAUGUGUGUGCAUGUGUGUAUGCACAUGUGUAUAUUAUAUGCUUAGUUUUAUAUACUUCAUUUUCAGCCAUAUUACUGUUCCUUUGUUAAAAAGUUCAACUUUCAGCUCUCCAAUACACUAGCUGGAGAAGUUUAGAAAACUUUUUUAUUUUUCAUGUUUAUUUUCAAUCCCAAAGGUGGUGACGAAGUGGACAGCCAGUAAUCAGGCUAUCAUGGUGAUGGAGCUCAGACACUUCAGCAUCUAGCAACGAACUUAGUUGUCCUCUCAAGAAAGAGUACACUGUCACUGAAGUUUCAGUUUACUACUUAGGCUAGUUCAUUAACCCUUAAAAUAUGUUAAUUGUUUGAGCAUUUUGUAAAUGUAUUUUAAUCAUAUUGACCCCCAGCUCUUCCCUGAGCUACCCCUGCUCAUAAGUGUUUCUUGAUUGCGUUCAUCUCAAUUUCUCCCAGACCCAUCCUCCACCUCUAUAAAUCCAAACUUCAUGUCCUCUCUCUCCUUUUUAAAUUUUAUUUUAAAAUAACCCAUUGCCUCUAAUGUGUGCCGCCCAUAGGCUCUGGGGUGGGGGUGGAGCAUGUUAGACUUACCAGGAGCCACAAUCUUAAAGAAAACUCACUCUGUGGUGGGAGAUCAUGAGCCUCUCCCUGUUCUAAGCUCGCACACUGAUGGACUUGAUCUUGGCAGGCUUUGUGCAGGCAACCAUGGCUGCUGUGAUUUCCCCAGGGUCCCCCAUGUCCAGAAGAGACUUUGUUACUCUAGUCCUCCCCAACCUCUGGCUCUUACAGCCUUGCCACCCUCUCAUUAGCAGUGAAAUCUUGGUGUCACAGAUGUGCCUUCAGCAGCUGAGUACCUGACAGACACUAUCUGUACUCCAAUUGUGACCUUCUGCAAGUGGACACCAGACAGGAUCUACAAGUGGAGAGAAACAGAUUUUCAGGGCAAUUUGAUACUAAGUCCACGUAGCAAAUUAAUGGAAUAGGUUCACCCUUGGGGCCAUGAAUUCCCCAACUGUAUCAGGUAUGUGUUUCCUCUUGUGGAGUGGGCCUUAAAUAUAGCAAUAAAGCAGUUGAUUGUCCCUGUAACACCUGUGCCACUCUAGUGCCCAUUGGUAUACCUUGUCACACUGGUCAUUAUUUCAGUUCACAAGGUUAAGACUGACUUCUCCCUUCAACAGGCUGCAUAACACCUUUUAGGCUGUGAGAGCUAGACAUCAAAGGGUAAGAAUAUCUUAGGGUCAGCAUCAACUUGAUUCUUCCAUGUCCUGUGAACAGUGUGUUUAACAUCAAGUUAUAGAGGGUAAUCAAGAGCAUUAAAGUAUAAUGCUUGUGGUCACCAGGACACUCCUGACCAAAACCUGGAGGGGAGACAUGCCACAUCUGGCAGUGUGCUUUUUAUUUGACAACCCAUGAGUUAAUUAUAUGAUACUUAUAAAAUAGUGAGUUUUUGUUAACAUUUUUUGUUGUUGAUGUUAAUAAAUUCCUUUUUGAGA
ensembl:processed_transcript uncharacterized LOC110333015